rnacentral:rRNA from 1 species
CAGUCGCCGCGGGAAUACGUAGGUGGCAAGCGUUGUCCGGAAUUAUUGGGCGUAAAGGGCUCGCAGGCGGUUUCUUAAGUCUGAUGUGAAAGCCCCCGGCUCAACCGGGGAGGGUCAUUGGAAACUGGGAAACUUGAGUGCAGAAGAGGAGAGUGGAAUUCCACGUGUAGCUGUGAAACGCGUAGAGAUGUGGAGGAACACCAGUGGCGAAGGCGACUCUCUGGUCUGUAACUGACGCUGAGGAGCGAAAGCGUGGGGAGCGAACAGGAUUAGAUACCCCCGUAGUCCCUGUCUCUUAUAC